rnacentral:rRNA from 1 species
UCGCGAAUCAUUGGCAAUGUACGAAAGUAUGACCAUGCCACGCCGCGUGGACGAUGAAGGCCUUCGGGUUGUAAAGUCCUGUCAGGGGUGAGGAACCGUACCGGUUUACCGGUGCCUGACGUUAGCCCCAGAGGAAGUCACGGCUAACUCCGUGCCAGCAGCCGCGGUAAGACGGAGGUGGCGAACGCUGUUCGGAAUCACUGGGCUUAAAGGGCGUGUAGGCGGCAGAUCAAGUCGGAUGUGAAAUCCCUCGGCUUAACCGAGGAACUGCACCCGAUACUGGUCAGCUAGAGUGCGGGAGGGGUGAGUGGAACUCCAGGUGUAGCGGUGAAAUGCGUAGAUAUCUGGAGGAACGCCGGUGGCGAAAGCGACUCACUGGCCCGCAACUGACGCUGAGGCGCGAAAGCUAGGGGAGCGAACGGGAUUAGAUACCCCCGUAGUCC